AAAGUUUGAUUCUGACUUAUUAAAUUUACUUUUUUUUAAUUGUACAUGUGUAUUUUUGUGUGUUUUGUUUUAUUCUAAAUGAUUUUUGAUUGGAUUCGCAGUUCUUUAUAUUAUAUAUUAUAUAAUUAUAGAUUUAGUUAAUAAGGAUUAGUUUUGACUAACAUUGUGCCAGCAGUCGCGGUUAUACAAUGGAGGCAAGUGAGUUUUUUUGAUUUGUAUUUAAUUUUGUUUAUUUUAUUGAAAUGGGAAUUUUUUGGGUGAAAUCAAUAUUUCCUGUUGUGUAGGUUGUAUGAUUAAAUAUGAAAGUUUGAAGUAAAACUGGGAUUAGAUACCCCAUUAUUAUGAAUAGUGAAUGGUGAAAUCAUAGUAUUAAUAGUUAUGGUCUUUAAAUUAGAAGAAUUUGGCGGUAAUUUAGUCUGUUCAGAGGAACCUGCCCUGUAAUCGAUAAUCCACGAUGAAUUUUACUUUACUUGGGCUUGUAUAUCUCUGUCAUUGGGUGUCUUAUUAGGGAAUUUUCGUUAAUCUUUAAUGUGGAAGAUGUCAGGUCAAGGUGCAGCUAUGGUAAAGAAGAGGUGGGUUACAUUGAAUAUAUUUAUGGAUGAUCUUAUGGAAAUGGUUUUUGAAAUUGGAUUUGAAAGUAACUUAUAUUAGAAUAUAUAGUUGACUUUAGCUCUAAAUUAUGCACAUAUCGCCCGUCACUCUCGUUAUUUAAAAUGAGAUAAGUCGUAACAAAGUAGUCUUACUGGAAGGUGAGGCUGGUUUUAUU
rnacentral:ncRNA from 1 species